GACGAACGCUGGCGGCGUGCUUAACACAUGCAAGUCGAACGGAGAGGCCCUGCUUUUGUGGGGUGCUCGAGUGGCGAACGGGUGAGUAACACGUGAGUAACCUGCCCUUGACUUUGGGAUAACUUCAGGAAACUGGGGCUAAUACCGGAUAGGAGCUCCUGCUGCAUGGUGGGGGUUGGAAAGUUUCGGCGGUUGGGGAUGGACUCGCGGCUUAUCAGCUUGUUGGUGGGGUAGUGGCUUACCAAGGCUUUGACGGGUAGCCGACCUGAGAGGGUGACCGGCCACAUUGGGACUGAGAUACGGCCCAGACUCCUACGGGAGGCAACAGUGGGGAAUAUUGCACAAUGGGCGGAAGCCUGAUGCAGCAACGCCGCGUGCGGGAUGACGGCCUUCGGGUUGUAAACCGCUUUCGCCUGUGACGAAGCGUGAGUGACGGUAAUGGGUAAAGAAGCACCGGCUAACUACGU
rnacentral:rRNA from 1 species